ensembl:lncRNA
GGGGAAACAUCUUCAAAUGUAUCUUGUCUAUAAGAAUGACUGAAUGGGAGCCAGAGUAUAUGUCCUCUCUUGCCUGAAUCUUUUGAGCUCAGCAAAUGGAUAUCUAUAAACAUUUUAUGUUCGCAUUCUUUAUCAGAUGGAAGACAACCUGGAUGUGGAUUCCCUAAAGCAUAAGGCAUCUCAGCCCCUGUAAUGCUCCAAAGCAUAGAGUGAGGGAAAAAACGCAGACGACAAAAACAACACUAACUGUGGUCACAACAAUGAGGAGACAAAAGAUCUGCUCCAAAUGAAUCAGCAUGAAAUGGUGGAUUAAGUCUGUAAUUAAGAGGUCAGAAGAAUGUGUAAUAUAAGCUUAAUUGUGAAGAUCUGUUUUAAUUAGAUCGAUUAUUUCCGCAGGCACCAUCAAGUCUCUCAUGCGAAAAGGGGCCCUUUACAAGUGAUAUAUAUCCAAACUUCACCCUCAAACACCACAGACAGACAACCCUCCUGUCUGGAGGAUUGGGAAGAUAAUUUAAUUUUUCUUCUGUCUUUUCGAAGAACUGUGCACCAAGCAGAUUUUUUUACAGUGUAUAAUUAAACAUAAUGGGUCAUUAAAAGUUUUAAUUACAACCUUAUUUUUUUAAGAAUAUGGGCAAAAAUAGAUUUCCCUCUUUGCUGAGAGAUGAUUGGCUUGUUUCAGGAUCUGCUAAGUAUAUAUAGCAGCGUUGUUCAGUAGUUAUGCAUUCAACUUUAAACUUCAAGAAGCCAGCCGGUUGUCCUUGUGAUUUUCAAAAAAAGCUACACGUUUUGUUUGUUUUUCUUUUUGGACCAUAAGAGCAAAUAUGAAAGCUGUGGCAUUCCUGAUGUGUUUACUGGGCUCCUCAAUAGCUGCCCCUGCCCCUGACAGUGACAGCAAUGAGCAGGCAAUUAUUAGUCAUGCUAACACAGCACUGCAGUUGAUGGAACUCUACAGAAUGUUUGGACAUCUGCGGCAACAGGUCAGUUCAAUGGCGCUAAAGCUAAAAACAUACAGUAGAGGCAUUUAAUAAUAAUAACAUAAUGUAAUCAAUGUUUUGCAGGGUUUUGGUGCUGUUCCUAUUGGUGCUCAACUGCCUGUAUGUAAAAAAAUUAACCACUUCAUUUGAAGACUUUACUGUGUGAACAUGCCUGCUUCAUGGAACUGAUGACAUUUUGUGUUCCUCACAGGCAGCACUCUCAGCGCCCGCAGCGCCCGCACCUGUUCAUGUAAACCCUUCUCAUUCAAAAUCAUAAAUUUAGUUUUGUCAGUCAUGUAAAAUUUUUAGUUUACAGUUUUUUUUCUUUCUAUGGAGUAAAGGGUUUUAUUUUGCGAUAAUAAUUGCAUUAUCGUGAUUAUUAGAAGACUAUUAAAUAAGUAAAUGUACAUGAGAUAUUGAAUCUUGGGAAAUAAUGAAUUCUAAAGUAUUUAUUAUACAAAAACAGUUUACCACCAAAUACUAUGAUUGGCAAGAUGUUUCAGAUAAAAAAAUGUAAUUAAUUAACCACUCCAUUUGAAGACUUUACUGUGUGAACAUGCCUGCUUCAUGGAACUGAUGACAUUUUGUGUUCCUCACAGGCAGCACCCGCAGCACCCGCACCUGUUCAUGUAAACCCUUCUCAUUCAAAAUCAGACAUCAUAUAACAUUUUUGUGUUUUUGAGGAUAAACAAUAGCCUUUUGAAAACAUUAUUUUUUAUAUAUAUAUUUCUCUUGUUACAGGCCCAGCCUCAGGUUUCACCUCAAGCACCACAGCAGGUUAGCAACAUGCUAUUGCCAUUGUGGGUCAAUGUCAGUCAUGGCAUGUUAUACCAUGUUAUACCAGGUUGUACCACAGAAGGUUAGCAACAUGCUGUCAAUAUUUUGAGUAAUGAUUUCUCUUUAGCAUCUGUUUAUGAUGUGAAGCAGCAUUGCAUUUAGAGUACAACAUACAUACAUUAUGCAUUGCAGUUUAGUUUGGUUAAUUGAGUAGUAGCCAGUGGCACUGUAGCUUUUAGCAUGGCUUUUUGCAAAAACUACAGAGUGGCAAUACACUCUUUAAAAUAAAGGUUCUGUGUUGGGGUCA